CCUCUGCUUGCCCCAUAGCUUUCUAAGCUCUUCUGGGAAGAGAUGUUUUCACUAAGCCUAUUUUGAGUAAAACUGCUCUGUGACAGGUUGUGGAAGAUUGACUCUGCCAGUAAAAUUCCUCUGAUCUGGGAUAUCCAUGGCACCUUCUUAAGACUGCAUGAGUUACAGAUCCAUCUCCACCUCCCAAACCCCACAAAAAUGUCCAAUGAUGAACAUUUUUACUUUGUUCCUAAAUGUUCUGCCUCCAGGUUCCUGCCUUGAGGUCCUGCCGACUUCCCUCAACAUUGAAGUAGGUCAUAGAAGAAUAAGCCAAAUCAACCCGAUCUGCCUACAAGCUCCUCAGCUUGGGACAUUUCCCUCAUGAAUGCAUGUGCCCUCCCCACUGCAUCCACAUGCUGCAAGAGCUGGUGCCAUUCAAAGACAAAGGAGGCACUGGAGCUUCAACCCCAGGAACGGGAUUAGUGCCCUUUGAAAAGAGCCCCACGGUAACACACAGGUCCUAUCUGUCCUCCUGACUUCUGAUGUGCCCACAGCUCUCACUUCUUCUGCUACAUGAGGAUGACACAAGAAGACUCCCCUAGAUACUGGAUGCCAGCGCCAUGAUUUGGAGCUUUUAGCUUCUAGAACUAUUGGAGAUAAAUUUCUGUUGUUAUAAAAUUUCCAGCCUGUGGUAUUUUAUAGCAGCAGCAUAAACAGAUCAUUGGAUACCUGGCAAAUUCAGGCCUUUUUGUUUAAAUCUCAGAAAUAGAAGAUGAGUCACACGACGGCAGUGCUUACUCUGGAGACCUCAGGAGAGGCUGUUUACGUCUUCAAGGGAGGCCUGUUCUCCUAUAGCUCCUGAUUGUAUUGAUGCCAUCCAUUUUUAAUCUCAUGAUCCUUCAUCUAAUCUGCAAGACACCUCUUGCAGUUAAAGGUUGAUGGGAUUUGGGAGUCAGGACAUGGGUGUCUUUGGAGAGGACACAGUGUUGGUACCCUGGCAAAAACUCUUCACAUUUUUCUUGAAAAUGACUCUGUUAAUAAUGGAACAUAUAUAGUAUGUAAAAGGGAACAAUAAGUAACACCUUCCACCUAAACAAGCAGACAAUAUACUGCUGUCUGGGUUUGGCCUUCUCCCAGCAUCCAGGAAAAUAAAAGCUUGGAAAUGCUGCAUCCUCCUGACCUCUGGUGUCUUCUCUGCUCUUCCUCCUUCAG